UUCCGGCGGUUCUUGGGUUGCACGCCGUCGUCGCGUGUCGUGCGAAGUGAAGCGUAGCGGAAUGAAGCAUGACCCGCGACGACGGCGUGCAACCCAAGAACCGCCGGAA
rnacentral:sRNA from 1 species